UGCGAAAUAUGGAUGUCCGAAAAAUGAUGAAGACCCAGGGAUCCACAAUGGAAUUGACAGAGAAAAAACGGAGGGCUGUAAGAUCGGCUGCCUCAUUUGCAUCAGGGGCAAAAGCUCCAAUGUAAGCUCGGAUCUGUAAGAGAUCUCCUUUUCCAUAACUUUAGACUCUGAAGUCUAAGCAAAGAGUGGCUCAUCUAAAAUGGCUCGAAGUGGGAUCAGAAGAGGGUUGUGUCCCCAUUAUCAGGAAGAAGGCUUGUUGUGUUCCUGCUCUCACCACCAGCCUUGUAUCCAAAGUGCUGGCUUGUUCCAAUAUCUCAG